rnacentral:rRNA from 1 species
GUGUGUUUGCAUGCUAGGCACUGUUUCAAGCUUGUACCUGGGAUCGUGUCCCUACCCGAAGUCUAAAUCCGAUUGUGGCUGAUUCAUUCCAUAGCGGUGAAAGUCCCGUGCGGGUAGGACUAUUGCAAAUACACGAUCUUCAGAUGUGCAUGCUUUCGAGUCGGAUUGCUUGAGAAUGCAGUCCAAAGUGGGUGGUAAACUCCAUCCAAGGCUAAAUACUGGCACGAGUCCGAUAGUAGACAAGUACCGUGAGGGAAAGUUGAAAAGUACUCUGAAGAGAGAGUAAAUAGUACGUGAAGCCGAUUGCAGGGAAGCUGGUGGAGUCAAGCUUCGUGCUUGAGGGAUUGAUGCUGGGAGCAGGUGUGUGUAUUGGAUGCGGGGCUGGACAACUUGGAAUAAGUUGGGCGUGUUCUAAAUGCGCUUCAAGUCAUUCCGGGAAGAGUGGAGCCAGCCUCGCUUUCCUACUCUCAGUGUUGUAUUCCUCGCUGCACAGGCCACAGUCAAUAGUUGCAUGCGGUAUGAAGGCCUAACUGUGCUUCGGCGGGUGCAAGCUCACCGGGUGCAGGAUGGCAGGUGCUGUCUUCAGGCCUUGUGUCUGUUGAUAGUUGUUGUGGUUUUGACCGGCUGGUCUUCAUAUCG